rnacentral:rRNA from 1 species
UCAAGUUAAGACCUCAAAUCAGGUGGGACUACCCGCUGAACUUAAGCAUAUCAAUAAGCGGAGGAAAAGAAACUAACCAGGAUUCCCCCAGUAACGGCGAGUGAAGAGGGAAAAGCCCAAAUUUGUAAUCUGGCUCUUUCAGGGUCCGAGUUGUAAUUUUGAGAACUGUUUUCAGUGCUGGACCAUUUCUAAGUCUGUUGAAAAAUAGCAUCAUUGAGGGUGAUAAUCCCGUUCAUGAUAUGGACUACCAGUGCAAUAUGAUACAGUUUCUAAGAGUCGAGUUGUUUGGGAAUGCAGCUCAAAGUGGGUGGUAAAUUCCAUCUAAGGCUAAAUAUAGGUGAGAGACCGAUAGCAUACAAGUACCGUGAGGGAAAGAUGAAAAGAACUUUGGAAAGAGAGUUAAAAGUACGUGAAAUUGUUGUAAGAGAAACAUUUGAAGUUAGCCUUGUGCUUGUUAGUUCAGCUCUUUAACUAGGGUGUAUUCUGACAAUGUCACGGACCAACAUCAGUUUUUGGGUGCUGGAUAAGGGUCUUAGAAAUGUAGCAGCCUUGGCUGUGUUAUAGUCUAUGAUUUAGAUACAGUGCCUGGGACUGAGGAAUAUUUGCAGCAAGCCAGUCACAUGGCUGCCCUUUUGUUACAAAGGGCACUCCUGCUGAGGAUGUUGGUGUCAAUAGCUUUAAAUGACCCGUCUUGAAACACGGACCAAGGAGUCUAACAUGCUUGCGAGUAUUUGGGUGUUGAAACCCUGAUGCGAAAUGAACGUGAAUGUAAAUGGGAUCCUUUACUGGUGCACCAUUGACCAGUCCUGAUUAUUUAUAUGAAGGUACUGAGUAAGAGCAAGUAUGUUGG